AGCGAGAGUGGCGGGAGGGAGCUGGAGGAGAUGCUGUGAUAGGCCAGGGUAUCAGGGCAUGCAGGUGGCAUGGGCCAAGGGCAAGGCUUGGCUUUCCUUGGAGAGGAAAGGAAGUCACUGUUAUAUGAGCAGAGCCGUGAGUCAGCCUGAUGUGUUUGCAAGAUGGCUGUGGUCAAUGUUAUCUUGAGAAUAGGCUUCCACAGAGGAAGGACAAACAUCAGGGCCUGGAUGAGUCAAUUUAAGAGUCUGAGUAGCCCGGUCUUCUGUACAAUUGAUGGGAUCAUGCUCCCCCUCAUGAAGACAAAGCAAACAGGUAGCCUGUAAUUGCUUCCGGCCAUGAAGAUAUAUACCUUUAACUGUUGUGUAGACUCAGAGAAAAAUUAUAAUUUGAACUUCAUUUAUCCCUUGGUUUUUCUUGUUAGGGACACUUCCCUGGAUGAUGGAGAUAUCAUCAUUAUAAUUCUUACUAAAGCCUGAUAUAAACAAGUGAACAGUUAGUAAGUGUUCAUUCUAUACAAGAAGCUAAGCCUCCUUCAUUCUUGGCCUCCAUGCCCCCUGUGGAGGGGGGCGGCACAUCACAAUCUUUCUCCCACCAUCCAGCAGAGGACACAGAGGGCUCCGUGUGUUUCAGUGAAGUCUACAAAGUAGCCUCACUCCGAGCUUCAGCAGGUGACGUGGCUGAGGGAGACCUCAGUGGAAGAUGUAGAGAAAUAUUGGAGUCCAAGACGGGGAGCUGUUGGGAGGACGUUAGAACCAAUUCUCAACCCUAGAGGAGAGUAACACUUGGGUUGUGACCCACAGGUUGAGAACCACUGCAUUGCAGCAGGUACUACCCAGUGAGGGAGUGACAAAACUCAGAAUCCCCCUGCCGAUCCUAUAGACCUUCACUUCCUUGUCAUUAUUGUCCCUUGUGAUUCAAGUCAUGGAAAAAGUCCACAUGAGAGUUCUCUGGUCAAGGACAGCUCUUUCUUAUAUUUUCCAUCCUCCAGUUGAUGUCUAGCUACAAUGUUGAAGUUUGGGGCUACUACUGAGACAGCUGCUCUGAAUGUUUGUACACAAGUCUUCUGUCUUCAGAUCUCUUCAUUUUUCUGGAUAUAAUGCUCAGCUUCAUGAGGACACAAAUCAAAAUAACGGAUGGCUGGGCCGCUUUAAUCUCCGCUUCUCACCCCUUCCCCUUUGAACUUGGUCACUGUCAUGUUCCUAAUCUCUGGAGAUUCUGCCUCUAUCCCUUUCAAGAGCCAUCGGCCCCAUCUCUUUGGUUUGGUCUCCUGGAUGUGGCAUAAAUAUUUCUGUCCCUUUG
rnacentral:lncRNA from 1 species